CAAACAAGAUUUUGAAAUGCCAAGCACAGAUCAUAACCAACAGCCCCAAGAUCACGUACAAGAUUUCGAAAUGCCAAGCACAGAUCAUAACCAACAGCCCCAAAAUCACAAACUUGAUUUCGAAAUGCCAAACACAGUGAAUAACCAACACCCCAUCGAAUCACAAACAAUCAGUCGAAAUCCCUAGUACUCAGAUUCAAAAGGAAAAGCUCCAAAAGAUGCAUAGCUCCAACAAGUCGAAAAGUAACACAGAUCAUAAGCCAUGGCCUUCCGAAAUCAUUAUUCACAACAAAUCGAAUCGAAAUGCCAAACCCUAAAGCACUAUCGUAAGCCCAAGUCUCAAAAAUCAAAGAUUUCGAAAGCCAAAGGUAAGGAGAUAAAAUACAGUUGUCAUAUGCAUUAGAUUCAACCAUGGGAGAUGCAAAUCGUGUGGUGGAGACGAUGAAAUCCAACCAUGGGAGGGGUGCUUCAGUGAGUAAAAUAGCAGUGGGAGAGUGAGAAAUACUUACAUAUAUUUGGGCCGAUAAAGAGAAACUACCAUCAAUGGAUACUACGGUGCGAUAGAGGGAAACAUC